rnacentral:snRNA from 1 species
AAAACUUUUCCAAAAGAAAAAUAAUCUGUUAUCAGUUUAAUAAUUGAUACUGUCCCCUGUAUGGGGGACCCCAUAUAUUAAUAGAUUUUUUGAAUUAGGGAGAGGAAUAGGGGCUUGCUCUGUCCAACUCAACGCAUCGACCUGUUGAAGUAGUACCUCCAGGACAGUUGACCCCUCC